CCUACGGGAGGCAGCAGUGGGGGAUCUUGCACAAUGGGGGAAACCCUGAUGCAGCAACGCCGCGUGCAUGAAGAAGUCUUUCGGUAUGUAAAGCUCUAUCAGCAGCGAAGAGAAUGACGGUACCUUACUAAGAAGCCUCGGCUAACUACGUGCCAGCAGCCGCGGUAAUACGUAGGGGGCGAGCGUUAUCCGGAUUUACUGGGUGUAAAGAGAGCGUAGACGGCAGCGAAAGUCCUCUGGGAAAUGCCAUGGCUUAACCAUGGCACUACUUGGGAAACUGUGCAGCUGGAGAGCAUGAGAGGUAAGCGGAAUUCCUAGUGUAGGGGUGAAAUGCGUAGAUAUUAGGAGGAACACCAGUGGCGAAGGCGGCUUACUGGAAUGGAACUGACGUUGAGGCUCGAAAGCGUAGGGAGCAAACAGGAUUAGAUACCCGAGUAGUC
rnacentral:rRNA from 1 species